AAAGUCGUAACAAGGUCUCCGUAGGUGAACCUGCGGAGGGAUCAUUAAUGAAGACGGGUCUUGGACCCCUCAUCCCUCAACCCGUGGAAGUGAGAUGUGCUUCGGCGCCUCCGGGCGUCGAAUCUAUGCAGUAUAGCUUGCGUCUGAAGAGAAACAAAACAUUUAAAACUUUCAACAAAGGAUCUCUUGGCUCUC
rnacentral:misc_RNA from 1 species